rnacentral:rRNA from 1 species
GACAGAGGAUGCAAGCGUUAUCCGGAAUGAUUGGGCGUAAAGCGUCUGUAGGUGGCUUUUUAAGUCUGCCGUCAAAUCCCAGGGCUUAACCCUGGACAGGCGGUGGAACUACCAAGCUGGAGUACGGUAGGGCAGAGGGAAUUUCCGGUGGAGCGGUGAAAUGCGUAGAGAUCGGAAAGAACACCAACGGCGAAAGCACUCUGCUGGGCCGACACUGACACUGAGAGACGAAAGCUAGGGGAGCGAAUGGG